UUACACUUCUGAAUGGAGAAACAGAAUCAGCCCAGCUGUUCACUGAUGGGUGCAAAGACUUCGCUGGAGGCAAACACCAAACAGAAAGUGCUGCCUUUUCAUACAGUGAAUAUUUGCAUUGUGUUGGGGAUUUUCCAAUGGCAACACAAGUGUAUGAGAGUGUUCUUGAGGC